rnacentral:rRNA from 1 species
GACGAACGCUGGCGGCGUGCUUCAUACAUGCAAGUCGAACGAGAAGUUACCUUCGGGUGAUGGAAAGUGGCGGACGGGUGAGUAAUAUGUAGGAAAUCUGCCCUUAAGAGGGGGACAACAGAGGGAAACUUCUGCUAAUACCCCAUAUGAGCGUAGCUGAAAUGCUAUUCUUGAAAACUCCGGUGCUUAAGGAUGAGCCUGCAUCUGAUUAGCUAGUUGGGGGUGUAAUGGACCACCAAGGCGACGAUCAGUAGCUGGUUUGAGAGGAUGAUCAGCCACAAUGGGACUGAGACACGGCCCAUACUCCUACGGGAGGCAGCAGUAGGGAAUAUUGGGCAAUGGGCGCAAGCCUGACCCAGCAACGCCGCGUGAAGGAUGAAGGCCUUCGGUUGUAACUUUGUUAUAAGGUACGAAGAUAGUGACGGUACUUAUAAGAAGCCCGGCU